GAUGAACGCUGGCGGCGUGCCUAAUACAUGCAAGUCGAGCGAACGGACGAGAAGCUUGCUUCUCUGAUGUUAGCGGCGGACGGGUGAGUAACACGUGGAUAACCUACCUAUAAGACUGGGAUAAUUUCGGGAAACCGGAGCUAAUACCGGAUGAUAUUUUGAACCGCAUGGUUCAAAAGUGAAAGACGGUCUUGCUGUCACUUAUAGAUGGAUCCGCGCUGCAUUAGCUAGUUGGUAAGGUAACGGCUUACCAAGGCAACGAUGCAUGGCCGACCGGAGAGGGUGAUCGGCCACACUGGAACUGAGACACGGUCCAGACUCCUACGGGAGGCAGCAGUAGGGAAUCUUCCGCAAUGGGCGAAAGCCUGACGGAGCAACGCCGCGUGAGUGAUGAAGGUCUUCGGAUCGUAAAACUCUGUUAUUAGGGAAGAACAUAUGUGUAAGUAACUGUGCACAUCUUGACGGUACCUAAUCAGAAAGCCACGGCUAACUACGUG
rnacentral:rRNA from 1 species